rnacentral:rRNA from 2 species
UGGUUUAAUUCGACGCAACGCGCAGAACCUACCUGGUCUUGACAUCCCGGGAAUCUUGUGGAAACACGAGAGUGCCUCGCAAGAGGAGCCUGGAGACAGGUGGUGCAUGGUUGUCGUCAGCUCGUGUCGUGAGAUGUUGGGUUAAGUCCCGCAACGAGCGCAACCCUUGUCUUUAGUUGCCAUCAUUCAGUUGGGCACUCUAGAGAGACUGCCGAGGACAACUCGGAGGAAGGUGGGGAUGACGUCAAAUCAUCAUGCCCCUUAUGUCCUGGGCUACACACGUGCUACAAUGGCUGGUACAAAGGGCAGCCACUUAGCGAUAAGGAGCCAAUCCCGUAAAGCCGGUCUCAGUUCGGAUUGCAGGCUGCAACUCGCCUGCAUGAAGCCGGAAUCGCUAGUAAUCGCGGAUCAGCAUGCCGCGGUGAAUACGUUCCCGGGCCUU